AGCAUCUUCAAUGCAAUAUCAUACAUAAAGUGUACACCAGGAUGCCCGGCACACAGAAGAUGGCGUGACGUAUCAGAGCACAACAGACCUGAGUCUGAAUCUGGAUUCUGCCUUGUAGUACCUUAGUGAUUUUAGAAAAUUUGUAUAACUCCUUCAUUUUUUCAUCAUUCAGUUCCCAGGAAGGUGGAGCGGAGAAAAACGCC